GCAGUCGNNCGGUAACAGGUCGCUGUGAUCCCUUCGGGGUGAACUUGACGCUGACGAGUGGCGGACGGGUGAGUAAUACUUGGGAAUCUGCCCUGUAGUGGGGGACAACACGAGGAAACUCGUGCUAAUACCGCAUACGUCCUACGGGAGAAAGUGGGGGAUCUUCGGACCUCACGCUAUUGGAUGAGCCCAAGUCGGAUUAGCUUGUUGGUGAGGUAAAAGCUCACCAAGGCGACGAUCCGUAGCUGGUCUGAGAGGACGAUCAGCCACACUGGGACUGAGACACGGCCCAGACUCCUACGGGAGGCAGCAGUGGGGAAUAUUGGACAAUGGGGGCAACCCUGAUCCAGCAAUGCCGCGUGUGUGAAGAAGGCCUGCGGGUUGUAAAGCACUUUCAGUAGAGAAGAAAAGCUUAGGGUUAAUACCCUUGAGUCUUGACGUAACCUACAGAAGAAGCACCGGCUAACUCCGUGCCAGCAGCCGCGGUAAUACGGAGGGUGCGAGCGUUAAUCGGAAUUACUGGGCGUAAAGCGCGCGUAGGCGGUUGGAUUAGUCGGAUGUGAAAGCCCAGGGCUCAACCUUGGAAUUGCAUUCGAAACUGUCCAGCUAGAGUAUGGGAGAGGGAAGCGGAAUUUCCGGUGUAGCGGUGAAAUGCGUAGAUAUCGGAAGGAACACCAGUGGCGAANGCGGCUUCCUGGACCAAUACUGACGCUGAGGUGCGAAAGCGUGGGGAGCGAACAGGAUUAGAUACCCUGGUAGUCCACGCUGUAAACGAUGANAACUAGAUGUUGG
rnacentral:rRNA from 1 species